rnacentral:rRNA from 1 species
GAUGAACGCUGGCGGCGUGCCUUACACAUGCAAGUCGAACGGCAGCACGGGUGCUUGCACCUGGUGGCGAGUGGCGAACGGGUGAGUAAUACAUCGGAACGUACCUUAUCGUGGGGGAUAACGCAGCGAAAGCUGUGCUAAUACCGCAUACGCCCUGAGGGGGAAAGCGGGGGAUCGAAAGACCUCGCGCGAUUAGAGCGGCCGAUGCCUGAUUAGCUUGUUGGUGGGGUAAAAGCCCACCAAGGCGACGAUCAGUAGCUGGUCUGAGAGGACGAUCAGCCACACUGGGACUGAGACACGGCCCAGACUCCUACGGGAGGCAGCAGUGGGGAAUUUUGGACAAUGGGGGCAACCCUGAUCCAGCAAUGCCGCGUGAGUGAAGAAGGCCUUCGGGUUGUAAAGCUCUUUUGUCAGGGAAGAAACACCGGCUCUAACACAGUCCGGGAAUGACGGUACCUGAAGAAUAAGCACCGGCUAACUACGUGCCAGCAGCCGCAGUAA